rnacentral:rRNA from 1 species
UCAGAUUGAACGCUGGCGGCAUGCCUUACACAUGCAAGUCUUAACGGCAGCACGGGUGCUUGCACCUGGUGGCGAGUGGCGAACGGGUGAGUAAUACAUCGGAACAUGUCCUGUACUGGGGGAUAGCCCGGCGAAAGCCGGAUUAAUACCGCAUACGAUCUACGGAUGAAAGCGGGGGACCUUCGGGCCUCGCGCUAUAGGGUUGGCCGAUGGCUGAUUAGCUAGUUGGUGGGGUAAAGGCCUACCAAGGCGACGAUCAGUAGCUGGUCUGAGAGGACGACCAGCCACACUGGGACUGAGACACGGCCCAGACUCCUACGGGAGGCAGCAGUGGGGAAUUUUGGACAAUGGGCGAAAGCCUGAUCCAGCAAUGCCGCGUGUGUGAAGGAGGCCUUCGGGUUGUAAAGCACUUUUGUCCGGAAAGAAAUCCUUGGCUCUAAUACAGUCGGGGGAUGACGGUACCGGAAGAAUAAGCACCGGCUAACUACGUGCCAGCAGCCGCGGUAAUACGUAGGGUACGAGCGUUAAUCGGAAUUACUGGGCGUAAAGCGUGCGCAGGCGGUUUGCUAAGACCGAUGUGAAAUCCCCGGGCUCAACCUGGGAACUGCAUUGGUGACUGGCAGGCUAGAGUAUGGCAGAGGGGGGUAGAAUUCCACGUGUAGCAGUGAAAUGCGUAUAGAUGUGGAGGAAUACCGAUGGCGAAGGCAGCCCCCUGGGCCAAUACUGACGCUCAUACACGAAAGCGUGGGGAGCAAACAGGAUUAGAUACCCUGGUAGUCCACGCCCUAAACGAUGUCAACUAGUUGUUGGGGAUUCAUUUCCUUAGUAACGUAGCUAACGCGUGAAGUUGACCGCCUGGGGAGUACGGUCGCAAGAUUAAAACUCAAAGGAAUUGACGGGGACCCGCACAAGCGGUGGAUGAUGUGGAUUAAUUCGAUGCAACGCGAAAAACCUUACCUACCCUUGACAUGGUCGGAAUCCCGCUGAGAGGUGGGAGUGCUCGAAAGAGAACCGGCGCACAGGUGCUGCAUGGCUGUCGUCAGCUCGUGUCGUGAGAUGUUGGGUUAAGUCCCGCAACGAGCGCAACCCUUGUCCUUAGUUGCUACGCAAGAGCACUCUAAGGAGACUGCCGGUGACAAACCGGAGGAAGGUGGGGAUGACGUCAAGUCCUCAUGGCCCUUAUGGGUAGGGCUUCACACGUCAUACAAUGGUCGGAACAGAGGGUUGCCAACCCGCGAGGGGGAGCUAAUCCCAGAAAACCGAUCGUAGUCCGGAUUGCACUCUGCAACUCGAGUGCAUGAAGCUGGAAUCGCUAGUAAUCGCGGAUCAGCAUGCCAAGGUGAAUACGUUCCCGGGUCUUGUACACACCGCCCGUCACACCAUGGGAGUGGGUUUUACCAGAAGUGGCUAAUAGGACCGCAAGGAGGACGGUCACCACG